GAAUUCGCUGCGCAGGAAGUUCUGGAAUACCUUUCGACCAGCUGUGCAAAAUAUCGUAAAUGGAUAGAGUUCAGAGUUCAGUGCGAAAUAACGCCAUUAAAUGCUCACCUGAGCUCUUCAUCAGCUUGUCAAAGCUCUUGCCCCAACUACGGAUUUCCUCUAAUGAAUUCGGAAUUAGCGAGAUCACGCUUUGUGGGCGCAUUUUCAUCGGCAUUCUUGAUGGCCAGACUGCAAGCGUAUAGAAAAUAUUGGAAAUUA